UGAGGAAUUUUGCGCAAUGGGGGCAACCCUGACGCAGCGACGCCGCGUGAGUGAUGAAGGCUUUAGGGUCGUAAAGCUCUGUCAAGUGGGAAGAAGUGUGUACGUAUUAAUACUACGUACAUUUGACGGUACC
rnacentral:rRNA from 1 species